UACGGCGGGUGCAAACGUUGCUCGGAAUCAUUGGGCGUAAAGCGCACGUAGGCGGCCUGUUAAGUCGGAUGUGAAAGCCCCGGGCUCAACCCGGGAAGUGCAUUCGAAACUGGCGGGCUUGAAUAUGGAAGAGGGUCGCGGAAUUCCCGGUGUAGAGGUGAAAUUCGUAGAUAUCGGGAGGAACACCAGUGGCGAAGGCGGCGACCUGGGCCAAUAUUGACGCUGAGGUGCGAAAGCGUGGGGAGCAAACAGG
rnacentral:rRNA from 1 species